rnacentral:misc_RNA from 1 species
AACCUAGCACACCUGCGGUGUGUACCUGCGGAGGGAUCAUUACAUGAUUUAACAGGGAGUGGAGGCUUCGGCCAAAGCUCUGUCUGAACCCAUGUCUUUUGCGUACUUCUUGUUUCCUCGGUGGGCUUGCCCGCCGAUAGGACAACCUUAAACUCUUUGCAAUUGCAAUCAGCGUCUGAAAAACUAUAAUAGUUACAACUUUCAGCAAUGGAUCU